rnacentral:rRNA from 1 species
AGAAUGAACGCUGGCGGCGUGCCUAACACAUGCAAGUCGUACGAGAAAUCCCGAGCUUGCUUGGGAGAGUAAAGUGGCGCACGGGUGAGUAACGCGUGGGUAACCCACCUUCGAAUCUGGGAUAACUCCGCGAAAGCGGUGCUAAUACCGGAUAAGACCACAGCCGUUUCGGCGGCAGAGGUAAAAGCUGACCUCUCCAUGGAAGUUAGCGUUCGAGGACGGGCCCGCGUCCUAUCAGCUAGUUGGUGGGGUAAUGGCCUACCAAGGCAGCGACGGGUAGCUGGUCUGAGAGGAUGAUCAGCCACACUGGAACUGGAACACGGUCCAGACUCCUACGGGAGGCAGCAGUGAGGAAUUUUGCGCAAUGGGGGAAACCCUGACGCAGCAACGCCGCGUGGGUGAAGAAGGCUUUCGGGUCGUAAAGCCCUGUCAGGUGGGAAGAAACUCUUCAGUACUAAUAAUGCUGAAGCCUGACGGUACCACCAGAGGAAGCACCGGCCAACUCCGUGCCAGCAGCCGCGGUAAUACGGAGGGUGCAAGCGUUGUUCGGAAUUAUUGGGCGUAAAGAGCGUGUAGGCGGUUCGGUAAGUCAGAUGUGAAAGCCCUGGGCUCAACCCAGGAAGUGCAUUUGAAACUACCAGACUUGAGUACGGGAGAGGAGGGGGGAAUUCCCGGUGUAGAGGUGAAAUUCGUAGAUAUCGGGAGGAAUACCAGUGGCGAAGGCGCCCCUCUGGACCGAUACUGACGCUGAGACGCGAAAGCGUGGGGAGCAAACAGGAUUAGAUACCCUGGUAGUCCACGCCGUAAACGAUGAGCACUAGGUGUAGCGGGUAUUGACCCCUGCUGUGCCGUAGCUAACGCAUUAAGUGCUCCGCCUGGGGACUACGGUCGCAAGACUA